rnacentral:miRNA from 1 species
UGUCAUUUUCUUUUGCUCCUCGAUGUU